AGUAGUAAUUAGCCUGAGACUGAGUAAGGAAAACACAAUGGAUUUUUGGGUGCAGAUAUUCAGUAUCAUGCUAAUCAGUGUCACAGGGUCCAGAGGAGAAAUUGUUCUUACCCAGUCUCCAGCAUUCAAGGCUGCAUUUCAUGGGGAGAAGGUCACCAUCACCUGUAGUGCCAGCACAAGUGUAAGCACCAAUUAUUUGCACUGGUACCAACAGAAGCCUGGAGGUUCCCCUAAACUCCUGAUUUAUGAAACAUUCAACCUGGCUUCUGGAGUCCCAACUCGCUUCAGAGGCGGUGGGUCUAGGACAUCCUAUUCUCUCACAAUCAGCAGCAUGCAGGCUGAGGAUGCUGCCACUUACUUCUGUCAGCACUGGAGUAGUAACGCAUGCCCACAGUGCAAUAGACUGGAACAAAAACCCAUAAACUACAUAGAGCCCAAAUACUUCAUCCUAGAGAUUAAAUAUGGCUAA